GCGCAACUGGUGCGAGCGGCCCGUGAUCGGUUGCAGCUCGACCCGGGUGGCCGACAGCGGCCCCCACCGUUCCAGACCGAGGAUGCGCC
rnacentral:tRNA from 1 species